AAAAAUCUGAGAAAAAUUUGAGCGUCUUCUUCACUCUCAUCUCUUUGUACGUCUUCGUUGACUGUGUUUUAUUCUCAUAAAGAGCAGUCUUCUUUCUUCCUGAUGUUAGAGUCUAAUCAAAAACCUUCUUAGGUGCUCCUCGCUUUCACUGCUUCCGAUCUCUUCCUUCUCCGCCGGUGAAAUCAGGUUCUGAAAUCAUCCUCGAUUGGCGGAUGUGGGAGACGAAUCUGAGAUGAUGGACUCGAUUGAACUCACGGCUUACUUCAGUUUGAAGAUGAAACUGAGAUCAUCCAUCAUCCGGCGAACAGGAAAUGUUGGCUGGCUCCUCCAAAUUCAGAACUAGUUUGUGGAGCAUAAGCCAGAUUCUGAGGACUUGAUUGAUACAGCACACGUUGACAUCAUCAGGCUACCAAUGCUGGUCUAUGCGUCGAGAGAGAAGCCGCAUGGUUCUGAGAUCACAACAAGAAAGCAGGAGCCAUGAAUGAAUGCUUUGGUUAGAACCAGCGCAACGCUAUCAUAUCCCCAAUCUUGAUUCUGACCAUUACGUCUACAACUCCGUGGCUAUGUAUAAUCAGUUCCCUCAGAGGUUUCGAUAUGCAAACCACAUCAUUGUCUUCUUUGAUGUUAGUAUGAAGUCUGCAAGUCUUUGUAUCUUCCGGAAAGAGCCAUUAACUGUCGGAGGGAAACUUACCGGGAAUGUUUUUGGUGGCACUGGUAGGCGUUUUGUUUUUGAGGAUUAUAAUUUAUAAGCAAGUUAUGCAGAGAAGAAGCAGAGAGGAAAAGAGUUUUUGGUAACUAAAAAUGCAGUGGAAUGAUUGGCAUUGUUUCUUCUUAUACGAGAUUGUGUGUGUGUGUGGCGUUUGAUGUCUCACGUUGGAGAGGUGGUCGUGUUUAGAGUGUUAGUGUUUAGUUCUGUUCUUCUGUUGAUCUGUUUUUAUGUAAAUCACACAAUUAUGCAAAACAAAUCUCUCUUCAGAAAGGGAAUACUGUU